AGUGAAGCGGCAACAGCUCAAAUUUGAAAUCUGGCCGCAAGGUCCGAGUUGUAAUUUGUAGAGGAUGCUUUUGGCGAGGUGACUUCCGAGUUCCCUGGAACGGGACGCCAUAGAGGGUGAGAGCCCCGUACGGUCGUGCCACCGAGCCUCUGUAAAGCUCCUUCGACGAGUCGAGUAGUUUGGGAAUGCUGCUCUAAAUGGGAGGUGUACGUCUUCUAAAGCUAAAUACCGGCCAGAGACCGAUAGCGCACAAGUAGAGUGAUCGAAAGAUGAAAAGCACUUUGAAAAGAGGGUUAAAAAGUACGUGAAAUUGUUGAAAGGGAAGCAUUCAUGACCAGACUUGGGCUUGGUUGAACAUCCGGCGUUCUCGCCGGUGCACUCUGCCAGCUCAGGCCAGCAUCAGUUUGCCCCGGGGGACAAAGGCGGCGGGAAUGUGGCUCCCUACGGGGAGUGUUAUAGCCCGUCGUGUAAUGCCCUGGGGUGGACUGAGGUUCGCGCUUCGGCACGGAUGCUGGCGUAAUGGUCAUCAAUGACCCGUCUUGAAACACGGACCAAGGAGUCGUCUUCGUAUGCGAGUGUUCGGGUGUCAAACCCCUACGCGUAAUGAAAGUGAACGUAGGUGAGAGCUUCGGCGCAUCACCGACCGAUCCUGAUGUUCUCGGAUGGAUUUGAGUAAGAGCAUACGGGGCCGGACCCGAAAGAAGGUGAACUAUGCCUGUAUAGGGUGAAGCCAGAGGAAACUCUGGUGGAGGCUCGCAGCGGUUCUGACGUGCAAAUCGAUCGUCA
rnacentral:rRNA from 1 species